CCCUCGAUAGCUCAGUUGGCAGAGCGGAGGACUAUAGAUGUUAAACUUUGAUCCUUAGGUCGCUGAUUCAUAUCUGGCUCGAGUGA
rnacentral:tRNA from 1 species